rnacentral:rRNA from 1 species
GACGAACGCUGGCGGCGUGCUUAACACAUGCAAGUCGAACGGAAAGGCCCUGCUUUUGUUGGUUGCUCGAGUGGCGAACGGGUGAGUAUCACGUGAGUAACCUGCCCUUGACUUUGGGAUAACUUCAGGAAACUGGGUCUCAUAUCGGAUAGGAGCUCCUGCGGCAUGGUGGGGUUUGGUAAGUUUCGGCGUUGGUGGACGGAAUCGCGGCUUAUCAGCUUGUUGGUGGGGUAGUGGCUUACCAAGGCGUUGACGGGUAGCCGGCCUGAGAGGGUGACCGGGCACAUUGGGACUGAGGUACGGCCCAGACUGCUACGGGGGGCAGCAGUGGGGAAUAUUGCACAAUGGGCGGAAGCCGGAUGCAGCAACGCCGCGUGCGGGAUGACGGCCUUCGGGUUGUAAACCGCUUUCGCCUGUGACGAAGCGUGAGUGACGGUAAUGGGUAAAGAAGCAACGGCUAACUACGUG